AACCAUAGAAACCUGCGGAGUACCUGCGGAGGGAUCAUUAUCGAGUUGCAAAACUCCAACCCUUUGUGAACAUACCUCAGUCGUUGCUUCGGCGGUGGACGGCCUUUUUUCGAAAAGGCCCGAAGCCGCCGGAGGUUCCAAACUCGUGUUUUGUUUAGUGUAUCUCUGAGCCUGAAAACAAAUAAUCAAAACUUUCAACAAUGGAUCU
rnacentral:misc_RNA from 1 species